UAGUGUGUUAUGUAACUUCUUACCAUAUCUAUCGCAGUUAAACACAGCUAGGAAAAAAACAACAAAUUUUUCUAUUAGAUUGAGAUUUGGUGUUAAGUUGUGAUUACAUAUUUUUACAAAGCUUAUAUCAACUCACUCUGUCUGUCUAUCUGUCUGGUAAAAAGUGUGUACACGUUAUUUCUCUUAAACCCUAUCAAGCUGAAAUUCUGCACAAUAACUUCUUUUACCUGACAACGCAAGAAUCUAUUUAAAAAAAUAAAUUAACCAAUUAGUUUAAUUGACUAUUGGUAAUUAAUUAUUUUUUGAACUAAUCGAACAAGGGAAAGAAAUUGUACUUGACUGAACCAGGUGGUAUAAACUGAAUUUGUCCCCUUUGUAGGUCGUCGUCUGAGGCUUAGUGAACACAAACAAGAAAUAGGACGAGACUAUAAAAACAAUAGAUAACUACACAAUCUUCCAUGUUCAUAGGCUCUCCACUAAGAGUGGUUACCGUGUUGGCUUGAGAAGCCUGAGAAGGCCCUCGACUUCGAAUUCAGGUCAUUAACUUUUUUUUUAAAAAUACAUUUAAAAAGCGAUAACAUCAUAACCCAGAUACCUUUUUUUCUUUCUCCUCCCACCCUUUUCAACUGGCCCAAACAAGUCAUAGGAUCAUAGCCAUAGACAUAAAUAAAUAUAGACUGGAAGUAGGAAGUUUUUAUUAUUUCGGGGGAGUCAAAUAUGUUUUAUGUACUAAAUCUAUGUGAAAAAAAAUGGCGGCAAUUGAGCUAUAAACUCUAGGACUGACAUUUCAGCCAAUAUAUAAUUAUGAUCUUUAGUUUUGAAAAGUACCAAACUGCCAUAUUCACAAUAUUUUGCCUUUGUUUCAUAAUCAUAGACAUAGGCAAAUAUAUAUAGGUUUGUGAUGUGGAUCUAUGUUUGUUGACAUGGCUUCUUUAUUAAUUUAUGGCGGUCGUCUUAUCGAUUCAAAUUGUUAGAAUUAGUUUUUAGUUUAAAAAAGUCAAAGAAAAUUAGCAGAACGUGCUCUAAUGUUCGUAGUACGAUAAGCCAAGGAUAAAUUCUAAAGGUUGAAAAAAAAUGGAAUAUUAUACACAGUAACUUUCACUUUCAGUAAGUCAGAAUUAUUCAGUAUCACUGUGACUGUCACUAAUUUAAUAAUGAUAGAUCUAAAUCUAAUAACUAUGACUAAUAUUUGUAAUAACUAGGUCUAAUACUUUUCAUACUUUUUACUACUAACUAUUAAACUAGUCAGUCUAUCAUCUAUGCAUGCAGGCUAUAGACUAGAUCUAGUAUAAGUAUAGAUUAAAGAUCUAGUGACAAUCUAGUCCUAGACCAUUUAUAUACCAACUAUAGACUAUAGACUAGACUAUAUAGAUUACAAUUAUAGUUUAUAGUAUAGUAUAGUAGUAUAGUACUAGUAGUAAGUAGUAUUUUUUACUAUAUUAUUUAUACAGACUAGAUCUAAAUCUAGUAUUUAAAACUAUUUAUAAUUAUUUUAAUAAUGUAAAUUUAAUAGUAAAAAAAAACAUGGCAUAUAUAAAAUCUAGAAU